rnacentral:rRNA from 1 species
CAACAACGGAUCUCUUGGCUCUCGCAUCGAUGAAGAACGCAGCGAAAUGCGAUAAGUAAAUGUGAAUUGCAGAAUUCAGUGAAUCAUCGAAAUCUUUGAACGCACCUUGCGCUCCCUGGUAUUCCGGGGAGCAUGCCUGUUUGAGUGUCAUGAAUCUCUCAACCUACUAGAUUGAAAAAUCGAAAUAGUGUUGGACUUGGAGGCUUGCUGGCCUAGUCAGCUCCUCUCAAAUGCAUUAGCUAUGGAUCGCGCAGUUAUUAGAUCUACGGUGUGAUACAUGUCUCACCAAUGGAUCGAAAGCUAUAAUCACCCCCUCUUCGGGAGUUGUAUACUUUAUUGUGUACCGUGUGAUGAGUGAAUACAAAGCUUCUAAUCGUCUUCACAGACAACUAUUUUGACAUCUGACCUCAAAUCAGGUAGGACUACCCGCUGAACUUAAGCAUAUCAAUAAGCGGAGGA